UCUACCAAAGGAUAAUAGUAUUCCAC
rnacentral:tRNA from 3 species